rnacentral:rRNA from 1 species
GACGAGGGGUCCAAGCGUUGUUCGGAAUCACUGGGCGUAAAGCGCAUGUAGGCGGCUCGGUAAGUCAGGUGUGAAAGCCCUGGGCUCAACCCAGGAAGUGCAUUUGAUACUGCCAAGCUUGAGUAUGGGAGAGGGUAGUGGAAUUCCUGGUGUAGUGGUGAAAUACGUAGAUAUCAGGAGGAACACCGGUGGCGAAGGCGGCUACCUGGCCCAAUACUGACGCUGAGAUGCGAAAGCGUGGGGAUCAAACAGG